rnacentral:tRNA from 1 species
UGUGAUGUAGUUUAUGUAAAAUACUUAUUUUACACGUAAGAGAACUCGUAGUUUGGAGCUUUACU